AUAUUAAAGGAUUCCCUGAGUAAUGGCGAAUGAAAAGGGAAAAGCUCAAGAUUGAAUCGGGUGUCCCUCUGCGGGCAUUUCGAGUUGUAGUCUAUGGACGGUGUGAUGGACACGUAGACCUGGGCAUAAACCUUUGAAAAAAGGUGUCAUAGUAGGUGAUAACCCCAUCUAUGAACUGGUGUUUGCGUGUAUCCUUCAUGUCGUUCCCGAGUAGAGUAGGUUGGAAGUCCUGCUCGAAGACGGGUGGUAAUCAUCAUCCAAAGCUAUAUACAAGCCAGAGACCGAUAGCGCACAAGUA
rnacentral:rRNA from 1 species